UGAUCUCUCAGCCUCAGCUUUCCUGCGGCACGCGUGUACUGGGAUCUCUCCGUCCGUACCACGGUGGCUCACCGGCCGCUCCACUGCCUCACUGAGACCAGCCUGAUCCCAUAGUUCCAGAUGGAGUGACUGCAAAGUACACAGCUAAAGGAUCCCACCUGCUCAGCUGUAGAUGACUAUCCUGGCACACACUGAAAUGUCGUGAGGGAACCCACGCUGAGACCCGCUCGAUCCACACAUCAUUGCCUACGCUGACAUAAGGAACCCGUGUCCUGAGUCUUUGAUUGAGAAGAUUCUGACUGUUCAGUGUUCUCUUUCACAAAAUUGGUUUUCAAAUAAAUAUAUUAAAAUCUCCACAUUGACAAGA
rnacentral:lncRNA from 1 species